GGCCCCUUUAAGAAUGGUGCGUUCAAGUGUGGUGGGUUGGUACGUCAGGUAAUCACGUAACUAUAUAAGCACAGGUGAGAUCUGUUUCCUCGUGGUAUUGCCCUGAUGUGAACGGUUUGUGUGGGUUGUGCAUCUUUACUCCUAUAGAACGAUUAGUCGUGAGUGUCCAGGCAUGUAGUGAGUAUGUAAGUUACAUGUGCAUGAAAGAAGUUCCCAGCUGCUGCUUUGCUGUGGCUUAUAUACCCGUUCCAGUGUUGGGACGUUGAAGUGUUGCUUGUGCACUGUUGCUGUGAAAGCCUUCAGUCCGCUAUUGUUUGUACAUCGCUUGCCUGGGAGACGCAAGACUGUUGCCGUUGGUUCCGCUGCCACCUGGUGGUCAUUUGAGCCCGUCCAUCGUUCAUUUGUGUUGUUUGUCUUUUGUGUGUGUCUUGUUAAAUUUUGUGUGUGUGUGAAUGUGCAUGUGCGUGUGUGGUGAGCUGAAUUGAAGUUUGUUUUUUUUGUUAUAUUUACAUUUAUUUGUUUUUGUUGUUGUUGCUAGUUUGUUAUUGUAUAUUUCUUAUUUGUAGUAUUUGGUCUCGUUGAUUUGGGUAUUAUUUCUUUCCCUUUGCAGUGAUAUCGCUCACUUAAAGGAUUGACAAUCUAUAUUGGUUUAUUUUGGGUGUUUUUUUUUUUCUCUCUUUUGAUCUUGUUUUUUUUGUGUUGUGUUGGUUUGAAAUUAUUAAUAUAUAAAUUGUUUUUGUAAAUCGUUUGGUUGAUUUGGAGUGUUUAAAUGUGUCUUUUUUUUCUUUCACUCUUGGUUCAUGACUUGAGCUGUAGGAAAUGUUUGUAAAGAGGUAACGUCAAAGAAAGUAUCCGCUUCCAGUUAUUCUCUUUUGUUUUUUGUUUUUUUGUUUUUUGACCGUUUCUUUCUUUUGGUAUUGUUUAUCAGUGUUUAUCAUUGUUUAUCAGUGUUUAUCAUUGUUUAUCAGUGUUUAUCAUUGUUUAUCAUUGUUUAUCAGUGUUUAUCAUUGUUUAUCAGUGUUUAUCAUUGUUCAUCAUUGUUUAUCAGUAUUAUUGUUAUUAAUAUUUGGGUAUGAAGGUGGCCUGUUCAUUUUGUCUGUCUGACUAGACCAAAGCCAGUGGGCUGGUUGUAGCAUUGAUGCACGCUGCAAAGUAAUUAAGUACUCUUUGUGGGGACCCUAUAAAUAAGGUAUUUUGGCCACCUUUGCUGCUAAUGUCAUUGAAUGUUAGCUUGGCUUAAGCCAAGUGGUUGACCCUUAAGCAUAAUUUUUUUAUGAAUGUUGAGCUCAAUGUUUUAAUAGUGACUUGCUCAUAAAUAAACUUGUGAUCUUGUGGCAUUGUUUCUGCUUGUCCUUUUCAUUUAGUUGAAAGCCUGCUAUCAGGAGAAAAAUUUGGGGUUCUUUUAUUAACAGUAUAGUCUGUUUAGGUCCCGAUCACAAUUGGCGUAGUCGAGCUGGGUCAAAGAUUCAAGCAGAGACUGCCACAUAGAAAUUGUUCAAUUCUUUUUUGUGUUGUUGUUUUUUGUUUUUUUGUUUUAGUGAUUUUGUAAGUCUGUGGGGUGUUCUCUUUAUAGCAAAGCAGCAGCUGGUAAGACGCAGACAGUAGGAUUCUGGUAGUGGAUAAAACCAGGUUUAAGUGGUAAGGUUUCUGUUUUUUUUUCUUUUUCCUUGUUGAGUUUUUUUUUUUUUUUUUCCUAUAGUAAUGGAGGCUGAAUUGGAGGAGUUGCGAAGACAGGUGCAGUCAUUGAGGGGAGAAAACGAGCGGUUGCAUCAACAAUAGGCAGGCCAGGCUAUGGGAGCUGCAGGCCCCUUAACUGUGAAUGCCCCACCUGUCCCGAACCCUAUAGUUGAACGGGUGGUCUAUGUCCCUAGAGAACAGAGGUGCCGUAUUUUUAGUGGUAGAGGGGAAGAUAGUGUAUUUGAGUGGGUGGAGGAGAUUCAAGCUUGCUUGCGGGUCCGACAUCUGCCUCAUUUGGAACAGACUUUAUUUAUUCUUGACCAUUUAGAGGGUCCUGCUAAGAAUGAGAUUAAGUAUAGGGCAAGGGAGGAUAGGGAAACACCAGAAUAGGUCUUUUCGAUUUUGAAGGAACUCUGUAGGUGCCCACAGUCGUAUAUUGCCCUGCAACAGAAUUUUUUUUCCCCAUAACAGCUAGAAGGGGAGUCUUUGCAAGAGUAUUCCCAUGCCCUUUUUGCAUUAAUGGAAAAGGUAGUACAGCAGGCUCCAGGAGGUAUGCCUAAUUCAGGGGUUUUACUUCGGGACCAGUUUUUGGAGCAUGUACUUGAUAGUGGCUUGCGGUGGGAGCUUAAACCUUUUGUUCAAUUAAAUCCUGAGUCCACUCUCUUGGAUGUACGUAAAGAAGCCAUUAGGUGGGUGGAUGAAGGAUUUCAUUAUGAAAUGAGGGAGAGGAGUCAUUCGGUCCCAGCUUCCUCUGCUCUUCAGUAUAGAGUACAGGGACAGACAAAUUCCUCUGGCCCAUCGAGCGUUAAUGUUUCAGAGCUGACGGAAUUGAAGAUAAUGAUGCGGGCCCAGCAGGAACAGCUUAAUCAACUGACUCAAAGUUUACAGCAGCUUCAGUCUCAGAGUGCGGGAAGCCAUUCUAGGCGGCUGGGUCCUAUCAUUUGUAGGCGGUGUAAUCAGCCUGGGCAUAUCACUCGAAAUUGUUCUCUAGUACCAACUCAGUUUAGAGAUCAGCUGGCUCGCCCUUUGUCACAUGGUAGUGUAGUGCCUCCUAAUGGGCUGACGGAAAACUGCAACCCUCUGAACUGAUGAGCCACAGUUCAGAAGGGAUAGGGCCUGGCUCAUUGGCUCCUGCCCCUGUUAGUGUUGGAUUUUCCAAUCUGUUGGGUAAGUGCCCCUCUGUCAUAGUUAAUAUGGGUGGGGUUAAUGUUCCAUGUUUAUUGGAUACAGGCUCUAUGGUAACCACUGUCACAGAGAGUUUCUUCCUAGCACACUUUGAACCCUGGGGUAAGUAAAGGUUAAAUGACUGUGGAUGGUUACAGCUUCGUGCAGCUAAUGGUUUAUCUAUUCCUUUUGUAGGAUACCUCGAGUUGGAUUUUGUUAUCCUAGGUAGACACAUUCGCAAUAAGGGCAUCCUUAUUGUAAAGGAUCCUCCACAGGUCCUUACAAUGUCGGGGUUGCCAGGUUUAUUGGGGAUGAAUGUGAUAAGUGAGUCUUUUCAGGAGCUAUUUAAUCAACAUGGCCCAGAGUUGUUUGAUCUUCCAAUAGUCAAAGAAGCCCCCGCAUGGCAGUUGGCAAUGCAGUACUGCCAGAUUGAUUGCUCCCAGAAGUCAGAAUUUAUUGGGGGACCUGUUCGUGUUAGGGGUAGACAAGUGGUCCGCAUCCCAGCUAACUCCUUGCAGUUUGUUCCGGUUACUUGUGCUGUGCAGUGUGGGUCCCUGUCUAUGGCUCUGUAUGAGCCUUUGGACGAUGAGAACCCACUUCCAUCUGGCUUAUUGGCAUCUGUAUCCCUG